rnacentral:rRNA from 1 species
CCUCAGUAGCGGCGAGUGAGCGGCAGAGCUCAGAUUUGAAAUCGUGCUUUGCGGCACGAGUUGUAGAUUGCAGGUUGGAGUCUGUGUGGAAGGCGGUGUCCAAGUCCCUUGGAACAGGGCGCCCAGGAGGGUGAGAGCCCCGUGGGAUGCCGGCGGAAGCAGUGAGGCCCUUCUGACGAGUCGAGUUGUUUGGGAAUGCAGCUCCAAGCGGGUGGUAAAUUCCAUCUAAGGCUAAAUACUGGCGAGAGACCGAUAGCGAACAAGUACUGUGAAGGAAAGAUGAAAAGCACUUUGAAAAGAGAGUGAAACAGCACGUGAAAUUGUUGAAAGGGAAGGGUAUUGCGCCCGACAUGGGG